GCCUAUUAUACCUAGUAUUGUACUCCCUUCAUCCGAAAUUCUUGUUAAAGAAAUGGAUGUAUUUAGAACUAAAAUACGUCUAGAUGCAUCCAUUUCCCCCACAAGUAUUUCCGGACCGCGCGGGGGGUGGGGUUAAGAAAUACAUACAUAAUCGUCUAAUGUUUUGUAACCUAUUUGUAAUCUGCAAUAAAGUUAUGGCUGUUUGUGUGAAUUGAUUUGUGUACUUUCCAUGUUGGCAAUUUGAAUCAAGUUCAAAUAAGUUUGAAUUCAAACCUUCCAAAGUUUGUGGAACCAACUUUAUCUUGAAGUCUAGGAAAAUUGAAGAAAUAACAUUAUCCCUAUAUAGUUUUUUUUCCUCAUUUUCAGUUUUUUUAAUGAAAACUGUUCCGACGCGCGACUGGGCCCGGUACAAUUUUUUUCUUCUAUAGCCUCCAAACAAGCCCAUGAUACGUCUCCAUCGUAUCUACUUUUUCAAACACUUUUGCCCUUGUUUUGGACUCUAACUUGCAUGAUUUGAAUGGAACUAACUCGGACGAACACUAUUUUCAGCAGAAUUGCCAUGGUGUUAUUUUUGUGCAGAAAUAAAAGUUUCCGGAAUGACCUGAAAAUCAACGGAGAAUAUUUUUGGAAUAUAUAAAAAAUACUGGCGAAAGAAUCAAGGCCAGGGAGCCCACACCAUGUCCACGAGGAUGGGGGGCGCGCCUACCCCCUGGGCACGCCCCCUGCCUCAUGGGCCACCUGACGCUCCACCGACCUCAACUCCAACUCCAUAUAUUCACUUCGGGGGAAAAUCAGGGAGAAGGAUUCAUCACGUUUUAUGAUACGGAGCCGCCGCCAAGCCCUAAUCUCUCUCGGGAGGGCUGAUCUGGAGUCUGUUCGGGGCUUCGAAGAGGGGAAUCCGUCACCAUCAUCAUCAUCAUCAUCAUCAACCUUCCUUCAUCACCAAUUUCAUGAUGCUCACCGCCGUGUGUGAGUAAUUCCAUCGUAGGCUUGGUGGACGGUGAUGGGUUGGAUGAGAUUUAUCAUGUAAUCGAGUUAGUUUUGUUAGGGUUUGAUCCCUAGUAUCCAUUAUGUUUUGAGAUUUAUGUUGCUAUGACUUUGCUAUGCUUAAUGCUUGUCACUAGGGCCCGAGUGCCAUUGUCGGUGUCAAAACCGGCGGAUCUCGGGUAGGGGGUCCCGAACUGUGCGUCUAAGGCGGAUGGUAACAGGAGGCAGGGGACACAAUGUUUUACCCAGGUUCGGGCCCUCUUGAUGGAGGUAAAACCCUACGUCC
rnacentral:rRNA from 1 species